AUCCCCGUGGUGUAGUGGUUAUCACAUCUGUCUAACACACAGAAGGUCCCCAGUUCGAGCCUGGGCGGGAUC
rnacentral:tRNA from 1 species